UGGGGAAUAUUGGACAAUGGGCGCAAGCCUGAUCCAGCAAUGCCGCGUGGGUGAAGAAGGUCUUCGGAUUGUAAAGCCCUUUCGACGGGGACGAUGAUGACGGUACCCGUAGAAGAAGCCCCGGCUAACUUCGUGCCAGCAGCCGCGGUAAUACGAAGGGGGCUAGCGUUGCUCGGAAUGACUGGGCGUAAAGGGCGCGUAGGCGGAUCGUACCGUCAGAUGUGAAAUUCCUGGGCUCAACCUGGGGGCUGCAUUUGAUACGUACGGUCUUGAGUCCGGAAGAGGGUGGUGGAAUUCCCAGUGUAGAGGUGAAAUUCGUAGAUAUUGGGAAGAACACCGGUGGCGAAGGCGGCCACCUGGUCCGGUACUGACGCUGAGGCGCGAAAGCGUGGGGAGCAAAC
rnacentral:rRNA from 1 species